AGUGGUCCUGAGCUGGAGAAGCAAAAGAAUUAUUAUUAAUCCAAGGAAAUGCAAAGCUGACUUAAGGGUCCUGUGUCAUUCCUUGUGAUGUUGAGUAGAGUGAGGGUCCUGUUGUCAUUGGAGAGCACCAGCCUGGGACUGACCGGGAGGCUCUGAUUGUUCACCCACCACAGACCAGGAUCUCCCCUCUGGGCUGCAGAUGCCUAAGAAGGAAGGAACUGAACCAACUCUGGUACUGGGGUUCACAGAUGCCAAAUAAGGCUCCUGAGUAGAGGAGAGGUUGAGGCUGUGCUUGAAGACAAAUCUCCUGUAACUCUGAUCUGCCAGUUAUGGAUCUGUGUGAUCUUGAUAUAGUGAUUGUAUUGCCAUGUGGCUCAGUUUUCCCCAUAAAAUAGUAUAAAUGGUUAAUGAUUUUGGC